UGUGGCGGCGGGCUUGCUCGCGAAUCCAGAGUGUCAGUCACCUGAUGCAUUGACUGAUACACCGCAUUCGCGAGCAAGCCCGCUGCCACC
rnacentral:antisense_RNA from 1 species